GGCGACGGGUGAGUAACCGUGGGCAAUCUGCCCUGCACUCUGGGACAAGCCCUGGAAACGGGGUCUAAUACCGGAUACUGAUCCUCGCAGGCAUCUGCGAGGUUCGAAAGCUCCGGCGGUGCAGGAUGAGCCCGCGGCCUAUCAGCUAGUUGGUGAGGUAACGGCUCACCAAGGCGACGACGGGUAGCCGGCCUGAGAGGGCGACCGGCCACACUGGGACUGAGACACGGCCCAGACUCCUACGGGAGGCAGCAGUGGGGAAUAUUGCACAAUGGGCGAAAGCCUGAUGCAGCGACGCCGCGUGAGGGAUGACGGCCUUCGGGUUGUAAACCUCUUUCAGCAGGGAAGAAGCGAAAGUGACGGUACCUGCAGAAGAAGCGCCGGCUAACUACGUGCCAGCAGCCGGGGGUUAAUACG
rnacentral:rRNA from 1 species